GGGGGGUUUCCAUGCAGUCCGACGGACUCAUAUUGAAACCUAGUGAUUUAUGAGUUAGUGGCGGACGGGUGAGUAACGCGUGGAUAACCUGCCGUAUACCGGGGGAUAACACUUAGAAAUAGGUGCUAAUACCGCAUAAGCGCACGGCUCCGCAUGGGGCAGUGUGAAAAACUCCGGUGGUAUACGAUGGAUCCGCGUCUGAUUAGCUAGUUGGCGGGGUAACGGUCCACCAAGGCAGCGAUCAGUAGCCGGCCUGAGAGGGUGGACGGCCACAUUGGGACUGAGACACGGCCCAAACUCCUACGGGAGGCAGCAGUGGGGAAUAUUGCACAAUGGGGGAAACCCUGAUGCAGCGACGCCGCGUGAGUGAAGAAGUAUCUCGGUACGUAAAGCUCUAUCAGCAGGGAAGAAAAUGACGGUACCUGACUAAGAAGCCCCGGCUAACUACGUGCCAGCAGCCGCGGUAAUACGUAGGGGGCAAGCGUUAUCCGGAUUUACUGGGUGUAAAGGGAGCGUAGACGGCUGUGCAAGUCUGAAGUGAAAUGCCGGGGCUCAACCCCGGAACUGCUUUGGAAACUGUACAGCUAGAGUGCAGGAGGGGUGAGCGGAAUUCCUAGUGUAGCGGUGAAAUGCGUAGAUAUUAGGAGGAACACCGGUGGCGAAGGCGGCUCACUGGACUGUAACUGACGUUGAGGCUCGAAAGCGUGGGGAGCAAACAGGAUUAGAUACCCUGGUAGUCCACGCCGUAAACGAUGAUUACUAGGUGUCGGGGGGCCAAGGCCCUUCGGUGCCGGCGCAAA
rnacentral:rRNA from 1 species